rnacentral:rRNA from 1 species
GACGAACGCUGGCGGCGUGCUUAACACAUGCAAGUCGAACGGAAAGGCCCCUUUGGGGGUACUCGAGUGGCGAUCGGGUGAGUAACACGUGAGUAACCUGCCCUUGACUUCGGGAUAACUUCAGGAAACUGGGGCUAAUACCGGAUAGGAAUCCUUGCUGCAUGGUGGGGGUUGGAAAGCUUCGGCGGUUUUGGAUGGACUCGCGGCUUAUCAGCUUGUUGGUGGGGUAGUGGCUUACCAAGGCUUUGACGGGUAGCCGGCCUGAGAGGGCGACCGGCCACAUUGGGACUGAGAUACGGCCCAGACUCCUACGGGAGGCAGCAGUGGGGAAUAUUGCACAAUGGGCGGAAGCCUGAUGCAGCAACGCCGCGUGCGGGAUGACGGCCUUCGGGUUGUAAACCGCUUUCAGCAGGGGCGAAGCUUGUGGUGACGGUACCUGCAGAAGAAGCACCGGCUAACUACGUG